GUGCACGCUGGCGGAAGGCCUAACACAUGCAAGUCGAACGGCAGCACCGUAAGAGCUUGCUCUUACGGGUGGCGAGUGGCGGACGGGUGAGGAAUACAUCGGAAUCUACUUUUUCGUGGGGGAUAACGUAGGGAAACUUACGCUAAUACCGCAUACGACCUACGGGUGAAAGCAGGGGAUCUUCGGACCUUGCGCGAUUGAAUGAGCCGAUGUCGGAUUAGCUAGUUGGCGGGGUAAAGGCCCACCAAGGCGACGAUCCGUAGCUGGUCUGAGAGGAUGAUCAGCCACACUGGAACUGAGACACGGUCCAGACUCCUACGGGAGGCAGCAGUGGGGAAUAUUGGACAAUGGGCGCAAGCCUGAUCCAGCCAUACCGCGUGGGUGAAGAAGGCCUUCGGGUUGUAAAGCCCUUUUGUUGGGAAAGAAAAGCAGCAGGUUAAUACCCCGCUGUUCUGACGGUACCCAAAGAAUAAGCACCGGCUAACUUCGUG
rnacentral:rRNA from 1 species